GCAUAUCAAUAAGCGGAGGAAAAGAAACUACUUCUGCAUUCCCUAGUACGGCGAGUGAGCGGGAAGAGCUCAAAUUUGAAAUCUGGUAGCCUUCGGUUGCCCGAGUUGUAAUCUAGAGAAGUGUUUUCCGCGUUGGCCCAUGUACAAGUCCCUUGGAACAGGGCGUCAUAGAGGGUGAGAAUCCCGUCCUUGACAUGGACCCCCAAUGCUUUGUGAUACACUUUCAACGAGUCGAGUUGUUUGGGAAUGCAGCUCAAAAUGGGUGGUGAAUUCCAUCUAAAGCUAAAUAUUGGCGAGAGACCGAUAGCGAACAAGUACCGUGAGGGAAAGAUGAAAAGCACUUUGGAAAGAGAGUUAAACAGUACGUGAAAUUGUUGAAAGGGAAACGAUUGAAGUCAGUCAUGCUCUUUGGAUUAAGCCGUUCUGCGGUGUAUUUCAUUGAGCGGGGUCAACAUCAGUUUUGAUCGCUGGAAAAGGGCAGGAGGAAGGUAGCACUCUCGGGUGAACUUAUAGCCUCUUGUCGUAUACAGUGAUUGGGACUGAGGAACGCAGCAUGCCUUUUGGCCGGGAUUCGUCCACGUACAUGCUUAGGAUGUUGACAUAAUGGCUUUAAACGACCCGUCUUGAAACACGGACC
rnacentral:rRNA from 1 species